rnacentral:rRNA from 1 species
AACGAACGCUGGCGGCAUGCCUAACACAUGCAAGUCGAACGAGGCCUUCGGGUCUAGUGGCGCACGGGUGCGUAACGCGUGGGAACCUGCCCUUAGGUUCGGAAUAACUCCCCGAAAGGGGUGCUAAUACCGGAUAAUGUCUUCGGACCAAAGAUUUAUCGCCUUUGGAUGGGCCCGCGUUGGAUUAGCUAGUUGGUAGGGUAAAAGCCUACCAAGGCGACGAUCCAUAGCUGGUCUGAGAGGAUGAUCAGCCACACUGGGACUGAGACACGGCCCAGACUCCUACGGGAGGCAGCAAUGGGGAAUAUUGGACAAUGGGCGAAAGCCUGAUCCAGCAAUGCCGCGUGAGUGAUGAAGGCCUUAGGGUUGUAAAGCUCUUUUACCCGGGAUGAUAAUGACAGUACCGGGAGAAUAAGCUCCGGCUAACUCCGUG